rnacentral:rRNA from 1 species
GACGAACGCUGGCGGCGUGCCUAAUACAUGCAAGUAGAACGCUGAAGGAGGAGCUUGCUCUUCUGGAUGAGUUGCGAACGGGUGAGUAACGCGUAGGUAACCUGCCUGGUAGCGGGGGAUAACUAUUGGAAACGAUAGCUAAUACCGCAUAACAGUAGAUGUUGCAUGACAUUUACUUAAAAGGUGCAAUUGCAUCACUACCAGAUGGACCUGCGUUGUAUUAGCUAGUUGGUGGGGUAACGGCUCACCAAGGCGACGAUACAUAGCCGACCUGAGAGGGUGAUCGGCCGCACUGGGACUGAGACACGGCCCAGACUCCUACGGGAGGCAGCAGUAGGGAAUCUUCGGCAAUGGACGGAAGUCUGACCGAGCAACGCCGCGUGAGUGAAGAAGGUUUUCGGAUCGUAAAGCUCUGUUGUAAGAGAAGAACGAGUGUGAGAGUGGAAAGUUCACACUGUGACGGUAUCUUACCAGAAAGGGACGGCUAACUACGUG